UAAAGCACCUGAUACUCCCUGCCUUCACCUUGACUCAUGUCGUUGAAAACCACCAACUAUUCAGGGGAAAAAAAACUACAGUGCGAUGGGGAUCCGGCAGAACUGGCAAAAACAAGGCUGACAGGCAAAUUCAGAACCAUCCAAGGAAACAAGGAAGAAAAGAGAGAUUUGUAUGGAUCCGGCCAGAUAGAAACAUGAGGAAGCAGCCUGCGAGAAGAUCAAGUGAGCUUGCCUCAUGAAGCCUCUUGAAUAACCCUGAAGUGACUGUUGCAACAUGAAGGCUAAGUGGGAUUUAUUUUCUCUAUAAAUUGGUUGAGCAGACUCUUUAAGUGUUCUUUUUCUUCUCUGGUUGUCCUUGGAGUUCCAUACAGGUCAACAACGGCCCUUUAAGGUUUGUUUCUGUUGAUUGUUUUUAUGUCAGUAAUCGAUGUGGCUUUUAUGAAUAAAGUGCCAAGAGAAUUUCCCUCAGUACUGAGAUAAUGCACCAUUAAAAUGUUUGUUUGAAUGUUCAGCCUGGUUCAAAUUUGCUCAUUUGAGACAAUUGCUUCCCAAAUAGGUGAUUUUUUUAUUGCACUGAUAUAGCGCACAUAAAAAAAAAAAGACAUUUAAUUGUACUUGACUCAAGUUGCUGCAUUAUAUGAAUCCAUUUUCUUGUAUUUGUGGAAAAUGUGGUUUGCUUUAUUCUUAUACAAUAAUUAUGUGCUUCUUCAAUCCACAUGCUGCAUUUAAUGCAUGAAGGUCUGUCUGCAAAUCACAUAUGUUUGGAAGAAAAACUUCUUCAGUCUACAUUAACUUGACAUUGCAGAGAGAUGAACAGUAGCAAUA